CUCCAGUGAACGAGAUGCUGAGCUACCAGCCAGCCCCUGACAACCCGCCCAAAUGCAUCGUAUCUGAUGCUCAGGGCAUGUUCAAAUCAGCCCUGAACCCAUCAGCUACCUCAUUGCUCUCAAUCCCCUUUGUGCCUGGCAUCCAAACAAGUUGUAACUUGUUCCUGGUAGCCAGUUCCUCAAUGAAAAAACGACAAAUCCUAUACAAGCUUGGAGGUUAAGAGGCAGCUAUCAAGUACUUUUAAUGCAGCUCGACUAUCUUUCUCAAACGAUAGUCUCCUUGAUCCUUAGGAGUAAAUUUGGAUUUUUGCUGCUUCAGUAGUUUCGUCGUCGCGUCGUAAUGCGCGCCGCUUUAGAAAGUCUCUUAUUUACGAUUACUGUCGUUAGUUUCUUAAGAAAGCUUUCUCAGCAUCUUGCGUAUUUAAUCACUUCUUUCUCUUCCGUAGAGAACAGGAAAAUCGGAUGCAAAGUAAUUCGUGUUUUCUACCAAUCUCUCACCAGAUAAACUUUAAAAAAAUCCGUUCGUAGAAGAAUUUUAACGUAAUUCGAGUUCAGAACUUAAAGAUAAUAAAUAUCGGAAGAAAUUCCCAAAACCUCGAUAAUCGCACAGAAUUAAUAAAAAAAAAAAAAAAAAACGAAA
rnacentral:lncRNA from 1 species